rnacentral:rRNA from 1 species
UAGGGAAUCUUCGGCAAUGGGGGCAACCCUGACCGAGCAACGCCGCGUGAGUGAAGAGGGUUUUCGGAUCGUAAAGCUCUGUUGUAAGAGAAGAACGUGUGUGAGAGUGGAAAGUUCACACAGUGACGGUAACUUACCAGAAAGGGACGGCUAACUACGUGCCA